AUGAUCAUGCAGAAUUUGAACAUGCUGAGUUCCAUCGUUUUCCUACUUGUCUUCCCUAUCCUGCCCAUGGUUGUCGCCUACCCCUCCACUGCAGCUCCCUCAAAUCUCUGGAAAAUAUCUAGUAUGCAAACCAGAGUAGCCAUGUCAGGAAAUCCCAGUGCCCUUGUCAUUCUUGAGAGUGUCAGCACCUCAUACCGACUUCUUUUUGGCUUCUACACCAUGGACGGCAAUGCAUUCACUCUCUCUGUCUUGCUCAUGGGAGCCCAGCCUCCGGCCAUCUGGUCUGCUAACCCUGGUGAUCCCGUAAGCCAGGAUGCCAUGUUGAACUUCACCAGCGAUGGGAAUAUGCUGCUCAGCGACGGGGAUGGCACCGUUAUCUGGUCAACAGCCACAAAGAGCAGGUCAGUUGCAGGCUUGCGGCUAGAUGUUUCAGGAAACCUUGUGUUGUUUGAUCAGAAAAAUUCCUCUGUUUGGCAGUCGUUUCACCACCCAACAGAUACAUUGGUCCUGGGACAAUCGCUCUGCAGGGGCAUGAACAUAAGUGUAAAACCCUCCAAAACAAAAUGGCCAUCUGCUCGGAUUUAUCUUUCUGCAGAGUUUGGUGGACUGCAGUAUUCAUCUCAACCAGCAAACUAUUCACAAUCGUUCACUGAAGUUGCUAGCACCAAAUCAGACUGUUAUGCAUUUGUCAAUGGCAGCUUUGGGUUCCCAAAUCAGGUUUUCUGGCUGCCGCAAGCAAGAUCAUUGCAAUACAUGCGGUUAGAGUCCGAUGGACAUUUGAGGCUUUACGAGAUGCAGGGCUACUCUAGCCCGCGGCUUCGGUUUGAUGUAUUAAGCCUAGCCAUGAAAUUUUGUGACUACCCAUUCGCAUGCGGUGAUUAUGGUGUUUGCAGUGAUGGGCAGUGCUCUUGCCCUAGUUUGAGCUACUUUAGGUCAAACAAUGAACGUCAUCCAGAUGCUGGUUGCACACUCUUAACCACCAUCUCCUGCAACCGUGCGCACUACCAUCAGUUGCUACCACUCGGCAACGUUUCUUACUUCAGUGACAACAUGUUCCGGAAAUUGGCCAUUUCAAGUUCCUCAGAAGAGGUCUGCAAGCAAGCUUGCUUAAUAGAUUGUGCUUGCAGAGUUGCCAUUUUCCAGUAUUACGGAUCGAAUCAUUACAGUAAUGGUGGUAACUGCUUGUUGUUAUCAGAGGAAAAACUAAUUUCGCUGGCAGAAGGUUCGUCCGAUGGACUUUCAGCAUACAUCAAGAUACAAGGCACACGAUCAAUCAAAAAAAGGAUCACAGCUAUAGUUUGUUCAGUAAUUGCAGGUUUGUCUGCAUUAGGAAUCUUGUUCUCCGCCAUCAUAUGGAAAAUGUGCAAGAAAGAGGAAGAACAGCUCUUUGAUAGCAUACCCGGGACACCAAAGCGUUUCUCCUUUCACGAGUUGAAGGUAGCUACCAGCAACUUCUCUGUGAAGCUUGGAAGUGGUGGAUUUGGGUCAGUCUUCAAAGGAAAGAUAGGCAGGGAAACAAUCGCAGUCAAACGUUUGGAAAGUGUUCAGCAAGGAACCGAGGAGUUCUUAGCAGAGGUCAUGACAAUUGGGAGAAUGCAUGACCAUAAUCUUGUCAGGUUGAUAGGAUUUUGUGCAGAGAAGUCGCACAGGCUUCUUGUCUACGAGUACCUGUGCAACGGUUCAUUGGAUAAGUGGAUCUUUCAUGCAUGUUCAGUUUUCACUUUGUCAUGGAAAACUAGACGUAACAUCAUAAUUUCCAUAGCCAGAGGUUUGUCCUACCUCCAUGAAGAAUGCAAGGAAAAGAUCGCCCACUUGGACAUAAAGCCACAGAAUAUUCUCCUUGAUGAUAGGUUCAUCGCAAAGCUUUCUGAUUUUGGACUGUCCAAAAUGAUAAACUGGGACCAGAGCAAAAUUAUGACUCGGAUGCGAGGCACCCGUGGAUAUCUAGCUCCCGAAUGGCUUGGCUCAAAAAUCACUGAGAAGGCUGAUAUCUACAGCUUUGGUAUUGUAGUGGUGGAAAUCCUUUGUGGCCGAGAGAAUUUGGACGAAUCGCUGCCCGAGGAAAGCAUUCACCUGAUAAGUCUGCUCGAAGAAAAGGCAAGAUCUGGUCACCUGCUCGACUUAGUGGACAGUGGCAGCAAUGAUAUGCAAUGUCAUAUGGAGGAGGUCAUGGAAGCGAUGAGGCUUGCAAUGUGGUGCUUACAGGUUGACAGCAGCAGAAGGCCCUUGAUGUCAACGGUCGCAAAGGUGUUGGAAGGCGUGACGAGCUUGGAGGCUGCACCUGACUACAGCUUUGUCCCUAGUUUUGCAUCAAAUGGUGCUAGUAGUGCAGGGCCAACUUCUUCCUAUGUGCCAUCGGAAUCACAUUUAUCAGGGCCUAGAUGA
rnacentral:rRNA from 1 species